UUGAACGCUGGCGGCAUGCCUUACACAUGCAAGUCGAACGGCAGCACGGGAGCAAUCCUGGUGGCGAGUGGCGAACAGGUGAGUAAUAUAUCGGAACGUGCCCAGUCGUGGGGGAUAACGUAGCGAAAGCUACGCUAAUACCGCAUACGAUCUAUGGAUGAAAGCGGGGGAUCGCAAGACCUCGCGCGAUUGGAGCGGCCGAUAUCAGAUUAGGUAGUUGGUGAGGUAAAGGCUCACCAAGCCGACGAUCUGUAGCUGGUCUGAGAGGACGACCAGGCCACACUGGGACUGAGACACGGCCCAGACUCCUACGGGAGGCAGCAGUGGGGAAUUUUGGACAAUGGGCGCAAGCCUGAUCCAGCAAUGCCGCGUGCAGGAUGAAGGCCUUCGGGUUGCAAACUGCUUUUGUACGGAACGAAACGGUGAGCUCUAAUACAGUUUGCUAAUGACGGUACCGUAAGAAUAAGCACCGGCUAACUACGUG
rnacentral:rRNA from 1 species